rnacentral:rRNA from 1 species
GACGAACGCUGGCGGCGUGCUUAACACAUGCAAGUCGAACGGAAAGGCCCUGCUUUUGUGGGGUGCUCGAGUGGCGAACGGGUGAGUAACACGUGAGUAACCUGCCCUUGACUUUGGGAUAACUUCAGGAAACUGGGGCUAAUACCGGAUAGGAGCUCCUGCUGCAUGGUGGGGGUUGGAAAGUUUCGGCGGUUGGGGAUGGACUCGCGGCUUAUCAGCUUGUUGGUGGGGUAGUGGCUUACCAAGGCUUUGACGGGUAGCCGGCCUGGGAGGGUGACCGGCCACCUUGGGACUGAGGUACGGCCCAGACUCGUACGGGAGGCAGCAGUGGGGAAUAUUGCACAAUGGGCGGAAGCCUGAUGCAGCAACGCCGCGUGCGGGAUGACGGCCUUCGGGUUGUGAACCGCUUUCGCCUGUGACGAAGCGUGAGUGACGGUAAUGGGUAAAGAAGCACCGGCUAACUACGUG